GACGAACGCUGGCGGCGUGCCUAAUACAUGCAAGUAGAACGCUGAAGGAGGAGCUUGCUUCUCUGGAUGAGUUGCGAACGGGUGAGUAACGCGUAGGUAACCUGCCUGGUAGCGGGGGAUGACUAUUGGAAACGAUAGCUAAUACCGCAUAAUAGCAGUUAUUGCAUGAUAACUGUUUGAAAGGUGCAAUUGCACCACUACCAGAUGGACCUGCGUUGUAUUAGCUAGUUGGUGGGGUAACGGCUCACCAAGGCGACGAUACAUAGCCGACCUGAGAGGGUGAUCGGCCACACUGGGACUGAGACACGGCCCAGACUCCUACGGGAGGCAGCAGUAGGGAAUCUUCGGCAAUGGACGGAAGUCUGACCGAGCAACGCCGCGUGAGUGAAGAAGGUUUUCGGAUCGUAAAGCUCUGUUGUAAGAGAAGAACGAGUGUGAGAGUGGAAAGUUCACACUGUGACGGUAUCUGACCAGAAAGGGACGGCUAACUACGUG
rnacentral:rRNA from 1 species